AACGAACGCUGGCGGCAUGCCUAACACAUGCAAGUCGAACGAGACCUUCGGGUCUAGUGGCGCACGGGUGCGUAACGCGUGGGAACCUGCCCUUAGGUUCGGAAUAACUCCCCGAAAGGGGUGCUAAUACCGGAUAAUGUCUUCGGACCAAAGAUUUAUCGCCUUUGGAUGGGCCCGCGUUGGAUUAGCUAGUUGGUAGGGUAAAAGCCUACCAAGGCGACGAUCCAUAGCUGGUCUGAGAGGAUGAUCAGCCACACUGGGACUGAGACACGGCCCAGACUCCUACGGGAGGCAGCAGGGGGGAAUAAUGGACAAUGGGCGAAAGCCUGAUCCAGGAAUGCCGGGUGGGUGAUGGAGGCCUUAGGGUUGUAAAGCUCUUUUACCCGGGAUGAUAAUGACAGUACCGGGAGAAUAAGCUCCGGCUAACUCCGUG
rnacentral:rRNA from 1 species